GGAGAGAUGGCUCAGUGGUUAAGAGCCCUGGCUACUCUUCCAGAGGACCCAGGUUCAAUUCCUAGUCCCCA
rnacentral:tRNA from 1 species